rnacentral:rRNA from 1 species
CCCUUAGAUGUUCUGGGCCGCACGCGUGCUGCACUGAACGGUUCAAUGGGUAAGGUAGUGCGAAAGCAUGACCUAAUCUCGAAAUCCGUUCGUGCUGGGGAUAGAAGCUUGCAAUUAUCCUUCUUGAACGAGGAAUACCUUGUAAGCGUGAGUCAUCAUCUCACGCUGAAUACGUCCCUGCCCUUUGUACACACCGCCCGUCGCUCCUACCGAUUGAGUGUUCCGGUGAGGCUUUGGGAGAAUGGCCUCAACAUGAGUUUAUCGUGUUUUGCCGUUUGAACUUAGUCAAACCUUAUCACUUAGAGGAAGGAGAAGUCGUAACA